rnacentral:lncRNA from 1 species
UCCCUGCCCAUAGCCCUAUACCCACAUCUCCUGCCCAUAGCCCCAUACCCACAGCCCCUGCCCUUAUCCCCCUGCCCAUGUCCACUGCCCACAGCCCCAUAUCCACAGCCCCAUGUGCACCUCUUCCUACCCCUGCCCACAUCCCCCUGCCCCAGCCCCUGCCCAUGGCCCUUGCUCCCUCGUCCCCGGGUCCCCUGGCCUCAGCUGUCCCAUGGGGCUGGGCCUGUUGGGGGGGCAGUGAGGCUGCCCCACGGCACUGCCUGGGGGGGGGACAGGCCGGGGGCAGGGGACGCCCUGUGCAGCCCCGGGGGGCCGAGGGCAGCCGAGGGGAUGUGCCAGGCAGAGGCGAGGCUGCAUCGUGCCGCGGGGAUGGGCUCACGGGCUAAAUCUGCCUGGGGCCAUGCGGCAGCGAAGGGGGGCACAGCCGCGGCCCGGGAGCAGGCGCCGGGCGCACGGGGCGGGAGGUGUCUGYGUGCCAGCGCGUCACGUGUGCCGCGCACAGGCCUUGCACGAGGAGGCCCAUGGGGAGAGGCACCAGCGCAGGCGGAGCGUGGGGCGAGCCAUGGGCACAUGCGUGUGCRGGGACAUGCCAGGGAAUGUGUGCACGCCGGGUCAGGGACACGGCUUGCUGACAGGCACAGGGACCCCCGUGGGGCAUGCACAUCCCCGUGCACACGCGUGGGGUGCCCCCGCCACGCGGGCACACCACCGUGGGGCACACGCAGUCCGGCACGCACAGGCGCACACAGCCCCGGCAUGCAGGAUCAGGCACACACAGACACGUGUGCACGAUGCACACUCGCUCCCACACAGACGCGUGCACCCGUGGGGUACCGACGUGCCCCCAUUCAGGUGAGGGGCACACGUGCCUCACACACAGGGACACGCACCCCUACAGCUCAUGGGCUCUGCGUACACAUUCCCAUGGUGCACGUGCACGUGUGCACACACAGACAUACUCCCAUGGGCACUCACGUGUGCAUGCACAGACACGUACCACGGGGCACACACUGCAUGCACACGCGGGCACACUUCCGUUGGAUGCACGCACGGACACAUUCCCACGGGGUGCACACAUGCAUGCAACAACACACACUCACGGUGUGCACACCUGUGCAUGCACAGGCACACUCCCACAGGGCACACACAUGCAUACACCAACACAUGCUCACGGUGUGCACACCUGUGCACGCACAGACACACUCCCACGGGGUGCACAUGUGCAUGCACCAACACACN